UCUGACACACCGAAGGUACCCGCGUAACACAGAGGAAAUGAGUGAAUGAUGAAUCAUUAUUAAGGGCCCCUUGUUAACCAUACAUCCUGGAAGAUGGUAGGCAAGUCUAAGAAAGCAUCAGCUCUUGACUGCACAGAGAAACCCUAAAGGAACUUCUCAAUAUUCUUUCCACCACAAGAUCAACUCUCUGACCCCCAAAAGAAUGCAACCUCUUCCACCACCACCCCCAUCCCCAUCUUGGAUUGAAGACAAGUGGCUCUUCAGGAAUCCUGCAAGCCCUCACUGACAGACUGGGACUUCUGAGGUGUCCAUCCCUGUGGACUGAGCAGCUACCAGAUUCUCAGCCUCCUAGUGUACAGCAACUGUUGAAGUAUGCAGCCAUAUCAGUGUAUCAGUCUCUGCCUAUCUGCCCAGCCAAGCUCUCCUGUACACGUGGACAGUGUUUGAGAAGAGAGAAGACAGAACAUGGCCUCUGUUCACAGAGCCCACCGGUAACUCAGUGGCUUGCUGCCACACAUAAGCACUGACAAGCGUCCUUCUGAAUUGUGGAGCUACAUUGCAACAUGAACUGAUUUAUUGGUUACAUAGUACAACCUAUCCAUCAAGAAAAUUAACAGACAGCAAAAACCGCUUUGUAAGAUUUGAGAGCAAACAAAACACGGGGAAAUGGGUCAACGACUAGCUGUUUUAAGCAAGUUUUCACUAGGGCUUUGAAGGAGACAAUAGACAAAAAAUUCCACUCCAUCCUCCCAUAUGUUCUUAAAGAAGGCAAGUGCACAGAUAUAGAUUAGGGAAACCUGUCCACGGAUGGUACUAGAGGUAAAUGUGCUGUGGGCUUUAGGAGCUUCCUGGAAGCUAUUUACCAACUGGUUACUAGGAGACAGCAUGACUCAUUGCCAGUUUCCCCUCUGUGGCCAGCCUACUGUCAUUUAUCACUUAGCACACUGGAUCAAGACUGAUAGAAUCUUUAGAAAAAAUUAUGGAGUGCUCUAUUUUAGUGAGGAGGCACUAAACUGAGGAAAUAAAAUGAUCCCCAAAGAUGAGGUCUACUGAGAGCACAUCCCAACAAUCCCUGUGUGCGCUAACAGCUCAGGGAUUUACUAGUGAUGGGGAGAAAACACAGAAACUUAUUGGUUAAAAUGCUGUGCAUGGCCAUAUUGCAAUCCUUGAACAUGGUAAAUCCUGUGCCUUCAUUGUGGGUUUUUAAUGCCCACUUUCUGAAUUAAUGUAUUUAUGUCACGAGCCAGUGAUUCUGAUCUCUGUGGUUGAGGACAUUUAUAUAUCCUUUAGUAAGUCUUUAGUUAAGAGUCAAAUAACUGAGUAGAUCAGGAUGUACUCCAGCUCAUCAGAUCUUUCAAAAGAACCUACAAAUUAGACUCAAGUUGUUAGAUAUACUGUGGGAUAAAUCAACACAUGGGCAUCAUCUCACACCCACAGUUACUGGGGUCUUUCAAAAAGAAUGGUUUCAUGCAUUGCCAUAACAACUUCAGUGUUAUUAGAAACAACCUUAUAUAAACAUUAUAUGAUAAGCCAAGAGAGAUUAUUAAAUGCCAAAAAUGGGAAAUGAUGCCUGCAGUGUUAUUGCUGUGAGCAUCUUCAGUGGGGCACAAUCCACCCAGGAGAGAAUCAGUGAAGGGUGGUGUCCUGGGUAUGUUUAGAAAGACUUAUGGAGAUUUCAUGUUAGUCUGCCUUAACUCUGCCUUGGCAAGAAGAUAUGAAGAUACACACACACACACACACACACACACACACACACACACACACAUUACUGGGCAUGUUCCCUGAAAGAGUUGUUAGUAUUCUAAUUUCACUGGGAAAAGAGGUAGCUCAAGGAAGAGCAUAUGGUCUGUGUACUGGUCAGGGUUCUCUAGAGGAACAGAACCAAUAGGAUGAAUAUAUAUUAAAAGGAAUGUCUUAAAUUGACUUCCACAGUAGUCUGGGAGAUUAAUUCACACUGCAGAGAAUGAGAAAUCAGUAGCUACUCAGUUCAUAAGGCUAGCUGCCUCCCAGUCCCAAAGCGGUGCUGAAAGCCCAAUGGAUUCUUAGAGAGCCACCGGUUUUCAGUCCAUGUUCAAAGUUCAGAUAGUGGCAGCAGGAGCAGGGUAGAUGAACAAGCCAGCAAGAUACCCAGACUCUGUAUAGAAGUCACAGAGUAAGGAGUAACAUAGACUGGGACAGUCUGCCACUUGGCAGUCACCAGUCUGAGACUCAGACAUGGUGCCUUACCAUGUUGGUCAGACUCACCUUCACCCUCCAAGCCCUGCUCAGAUCUGUACGGCAGGAGAAGGAAGGCCCAGAAGGUUCGGCGUUCAUUUCCUCCAGCCCUUAGGGAGAUGGGUUUGGAAAUGGUGUUAAGAUGAUUUAUGAAAAUAAAUUUAUAGGCUAAAAUUUAUAUUUGCUCUGGAAGUAUAAAUCUUUUGGUCCUGUUUUUAUUCAGAAAGAACACACUUCUGAAGGCAUUGACUUGGGUUCAGAGUUUUCACCAAUAUCUAUGAAGUUUCUUAACCCUACUGACCUCAUUGUUUUCAUCUGUGCAGGUAAGACUCAGGAUCUUCUCUGAUGCUUGCAACAGCCCAGGGAACCAACCUUGUCAUCUGUAUCUUAGCUGAAGCAACCAGCUUCCCUUUUGGCAGCCAUAACAGUCAAACAUGUGCUUCUAUGACCUUGUUCUAGACACUAGAAAGUCAGAUGCCUGUCUUGUGAC